rnacentral:rRNA from 1 species
CACAGGUAGCACGAGUGGUGUCCACGAAUAUUGAGCUUAAAGCGUCCGUAGCCGGCUAGGCAAGUUUCCUGUGAAAUCUUUCGGCUCAACCGAAUAGGCUUGCAGGGAACACUACUUGGCUCGGGAGUGGGGGAGGUAAGAGGUACGUUAGGGGGAGCGGUAAGAUGCAUUAAUCCUUAACGGACCACCAGUGGCGAAGGCGUCUUACCAAAACACGUCCGACGGUGAGGGACGAAGGCUAGGGGAGCAAAUC